CCUACGGGAGGCAGCAGUGAGGAAUAUUGGUCAAUGGACGAGAGUCUGAACCAGCCAAGUAGCGUGAAGGAUGACUGCCCUAUGGGUUGUAAACUUCUUUUAUAUGGGAAUAAAAUGUUCCACGUGUGGGAUUUUGUAUGUACCAUAUGAAUAAGGAUCGGCUAACUCCGUGCCAGCAGCCGCGGUAGUACGGAGAAUCCGACCUUUAUCCGGAUUUAUUGGGUUUAAAGGGAGCGUAGGUGGAUUGUUAAUUAAGUGGUAAAAGUUUGCGGCUCAAGCGUAAAAUUGCAGUUGAAACUGGCAGUCUGGAGUGCAGUAGAGGUGGGCGGAAUGCGUGGUGUAGCGGUGAAAUGCUUAGAUAUCACGAAGAACUCCGAUUGCGAAGGCAGUUCACUGGACUGCAACUGACACUGAGGCUCGAAAGUGUGGGUAUCAAACAGGAUUAGAUACCCCAGUAGUC
rnacentral:rRNA from 1 species